rnacentral:tRNA from 1 species
GCCCGCGUUCGCCCACGCAUUCGGCGCGUCGUUUCAGUCGGUGCAAUGGGUGGUGCUGGCCUACCUGCUGGCC